rnacentral:rRNA from 1 species
UACGUAGGGUGCGAGCGUUAAUCGGAAUUACUGGGCGUAAAGCGUGCGCAGGCGGUUUUUUAAGCCCGCUGUGAAAUCCCCGGGCUUAACCUGGGAAUGGCAUUUGGGACUGCAAGGCUCGAGUGCGGCAGAGGAGACUGGAAUUCCUGGUGUAGCAGUGAAAUGCGUAGAUAUCAGGAGGAACACCGAUGGCGAAGGCAGGUCUCUGGGCUGACACUGACGCUCAUGCACGAAAGCGUGGGGAGCAAACAGG